rnacentral:rRNA from 1 species
UACGUAGGGCGCAAGCGUUGUCCGGAAUUAUUGGGCGUAAAGAGCUCGUAGGCGGUUUGUCGCGUCUGCUGUGAAAACCUAAGGCUCAACCUUGGGCUUGCAGUGGGUACGGGCAGACUAGAGUGCGGUAGGGGUGACUGGAAUUCCUGGUGUAGCGGUGGAAUGCGCAGAUAUCAGGAGGAACACCAGUGGCGAAGGCGGUGGUCUGGGCCGGAACUGACGCUGUAGAGCGAAAGCGUGGGGAGCGAACAGG